CCUGUUCGAGCGUCAUUACAACCCUCAAGCUCUGCUUGGUAUUGGGCCUCACCGGCAACGGUGUGCCCUAAUCAGUGGCGGUGCAUCUGGCUCUAAGCGUAGUAAAUCUCUCGCUCUAGGUGCCCGGUGGACGCUUGCCAGCAACCCCCAAUUUUUUACAGGUUGACCUCGGAUCAGGUAGGGAUACCCGCUGAACUUAA
rnacentral:misc_RNA from 1 species